GAUGAACUCUGGCGGCAUGCCUAAUACAUGCAAGUCGAACGAAGUUUCGAGGAAGCUUGCUUCCAAAGAGACUUAGUGGCGAACGGGUGAGUAACACGUAGGUAACCUGCCCAUGUGUCCGGGAUAACUGCUGGAAACGGUAGCUAAAACCGGAUAGGUAUACAGAGCGCAUGCUCAGUAUAUUAAAGCGCCCAUCAAGGCGUGAACAUGGAUGGACCUGCGGCGCAUUAGCUAGUUGGUGAGGUAACGGCCCACCAAGGCGAUGAUGCGUAGCCGGCCUGAGAGGGUAAACGGCCACAUUGGGACUGAGACACGGCCCAAACUCCUACGGGAGGCAGCAGUAGGGAAUUUUCGUCAAUGGGGGAAACCCUGAACGAGCAAUGCCGCGUGAGUGAAGAAGGUCUUCGGAUCGUAAAGCUCUGUUGUAAGUGAAGAACGGCUCAUAGAGGAAAUGCUAUGGGAGUGACGGUAGCUUACCAGAAAGCCACGGCUAACUACGUGCCAGCAGCCGCGGUAAUACGUAGGUGGCAAGCGUUAUCCGGAAUCAUUGGGCGUAAAGGGUGCGUAGGUGGCGUACUAAGUCUGUAGUAAAAGGCAAUGGCUCAACCAUUGUAAGCUAUGGAAACUGGUAUGCUGGAGUGCAGAAGAGGGCGAUGGAAUUCCAUGUGUAGCGGUAAAAUGCGUAGAUAUAUGGAGGAACACCAGUGGCGAAGGCGGUCGCCUGGUCUGUAACUGGCACUGAGGCACGAAAGCGUGGGGAGCAAAUAGGAUUAGAUACCCUAGUAGUCCACGCC
rnacentral:rRNA from 1 species